AACUGAAUGUCAACCACAUGGUAAAGAUUUUACACACACACAAACACACACACACAUACAUAUAUAUGUGUGUGUGUAUGUGUGUAUAUAUACAUGUGUAUAUAUAAUA
rnacentral:miRNA from 1 species